AGGAGACCAUCUCACAGCAAACUUCUGGAGACUCUACAACACUUUACAGACAACUGUUACAAGUUGAUUAGAAUGUGACUAAGGUACUUAGACCAUCGCUUGGAACCUUCCGGGACACAUAGGAAGACUCAAGUGCUUCAAGAUGGUGGUGGAUGAGGAGAAAUGAUGAGAAAGAAAGGUCUGAGCAGACAUCAUCUUGGACACAGAGAUAGAGGUAAGGAAGCCAUCAAUCAGGUCGGAACGAGAUUAGGUCUGGGAACAGACAAGCCACGACGUUUCAAUUUCUGAUAGCCCAGGUUGGCAUAAAUAAACAGACCAUACAAGAUCUCAAAUAUCAAAGGACUCUGGCUGGGGUGUCAGGAGCAGACAACUUAAUUCAGAAACCAUUUCUAAUGGCACCAUGGUCAGUUCAACCACACUCCACAAAACACAUUUAUUAGUGAGUGCUUGCAAGCUAAAAAGAAAAAUCUCACUUCUGAUUUGUUUGUUUGUUUGUUUUUAUGGUCCUAAGACCAUACAAGGUAGGAAGGUGCCCUAUCAUUGAGCUACACUCUUAAUCCUGAUUUUUAACUUUUUACAACUUCUCAGAUAGCAUUUGAGCAUCCUGCAAGUCCUUCUACAAGAGACAGUGAAACGGCUAAUUGGUUUUUGUUUUGUUUUGUUUUGUUUUGUUUUGUUUGUUUUGUUGUGACAGAGGGAGAAACUGGAUUGAAUAAGACAUUAGGCUAACACACAGAUUCUUCAAUACAUUCCACAGUAAACAGUCUCUGCUUUCUCUCUGCUCCUGUCUGAGGCUGGCAGGAGCCUGCUAAGUUCCUAGAUACCCAUGAACUGCCUGGUCCCACCAACCUGAUGACCACACAUUCCAACCCAGGCACAAGGGAACCAGCUAGGUUAGUCCUGAACAUGGGCAAAACUUGGUUAGUUGCCAGGAAAAGCACCUGAUAUCAUAGACCCGACAAGGUGGCCACCUCUACUCUAUUCAUAUGACAGAAGAUCCUGCUGUUAGACAAGAGACCUGCACAUCACCAUGGGCUGCCAUCUUCAGCCUGAGGAACCAGUGAGUUGUACCUCUCGUGAUGAGGCCCCCGGGCAGGCCUGCAACAAAAAAGCCUGUCUCAACUUGAAGUCAAGGCUCUAAGCCAGCUCAGAACAUGAAAUCUACAGUUUGGCAUAGCUUCUGCUUCUGUGUCCACCAGAGCAACACAACACACCUAGUCACACAGAUCACAAAGACGGGUUCAGGAGAUGUGGGGCCUGACAAGCUAUGCAGAGGAAUGCCAGCAUGGUGAUGUUUGUAGGCCUCUUCUUUUCUACACAAAAUUCCUACCUACGGCCCCUGUGAUGUCCCCUUGGUACAAACUUUACCUUAGUGGGAAAGUGUGAUGUUAGGAGUAAUCAAAAGGCUUUAGCACGUUCUCGGGACUUAGCAGCUGGCAAACUUUUGCUAACACAUUUGUCAUAUGAGAAAGUAAGAGAGAAGAGUGCCCAUCACCCCUGCAGGAGCUGACUCCAAAUCCCAGCCCAUGUGAAGAGACAGUGUGAUGGUAUAUAGGCCCUUGCAAUCUCAGCAC